rnacentral:misc_RNA from 1 species
GAUGAAGAACGCAGCGAAAUGCGAUAAGUAAUGUGAAUUGCAGAAUUCAGUGAAUCAUCGAAUCUUUGAAUGCAUCUUGCGCUCCUUGGUAUUCUGAGGAGCAUGCCUGUUUGAGUGUCAUUAAAUUCUCAACUACACUGACUUUGAAUUGGUGUGGCUUGGAUUUGGGGGGAAAAUUGUUGUGGGCUUUUUGUAUAGUCUGCUCCCCUGAAAUUGAUUAGCGGUACCUUUGUGGAACUGUCUACAGGUGUGAUAAUUAUCUACAUCUUAGACAUCUGCUGGAAUGCUGCUUUCUAAACCUUACUUGUAUUGACAAUCUUGACCUCAAAUCAGGUAGGACUACCCGCUGAACUUAAGCAUAUCAAUAAGCGGAGGA